UGGCGCGAUCUCGGCUCACCGCAACCUCCGCCUCCUGGGUUCAGGAAAUUCUCCUGCCUCAGCCUCCCGAGUAGCUGGGAUUACAGGCACGCGCCACCAUGCCCAGCUAAUUUUUUGUAUUUUUAGUAGAGACGGGGUUUCACCAUGUUGACCAGGAUGGUCUCGAUCUCAACCUCGUGAUCCACCCGCCUCGGCCUCCCAAAGUGCUGGGAUUACAGGCUUGAGCCACCGCGCUCAGCGGAAGACAUUUUUGAUAAAGAAGAUGAAGACAAAGAUGGGUUUAUAUCUGCCAGAGAAUUUACAUAUAAACAUGAUGGGUUAUAGAGAUACAUCUACCCAUUUAAUAUAGCCUUCAUGUUUAAAGAGAGGGCAGUCAUCUUUAAAGAAUAUUUGAUUUUUUAACAAUGUUCUUUCUUGCUUUGUUUUUAUCUAUUUUUUCGGACCCCUAUGUAAAGAAUCCCUUAGGGUUUCUAACUAUCCAUUUCUUUUGUAAGUUAUUGGGAAGAAAAAUCUAAUUUGUCUCUGAAUAGAAGACUUCUGGACUGUUUUUUACUUUCACAGACAGGAAGCUUUGUUUUACUUUCUUACUUGUAAAUUUAAAAUAUUGCAACUAGGAGUUUACCAGGACAUGAGACCAGGUUAUAACACAAAUUAGCACUCUAUAUUUCUGCUUUCCUCUAUUUUCUCCAAGUUAGAGAUCAACAUUUGAAAAGCCUUUUGCCAUAGCCCAAGCCUUGCUAUUGUCAUGUUAUAAUGAAAUAGUUGUCUGCAACAACUGGCUCUGAGUCUCUGCUUGAGGACCAGAGGAAAAUGGUUGUUGGACGUGACUUGUUAAUGGCUAGUAAGGCUUUUUUACUAAGAAGAUGUGCAGUGCCAAAGUUAGAAACAAAGUUAAUAACUUAUAUAAAUAUGCAUGCAUUGAAACAUUCUACCUAGGACUUAAGUGGAUGAAGUUUGGCUCCUAGUGACUGGUGGCCUAUUAUGAUAAAUAGGACAAAUCAUUUAUGUGUGACUUUCUUUGUAAUAUGAUGUAUCAAUAUGUUAAAAAAAAAGAAAAGAAAACUUAUUCUCACCUGAACCCAAACAAUUUCCUCCCUGAGGAAACUUGGGAACCUGAACGUGACUGUGAGCAAGUUGUGGUACAGACCUAUGCAGCCAGGGAGGCUCUCAGGGACAUUCCCCUACAAAUCCAGGCUGGACCCUUUUCAUGGAUGGAAACUUCUUUGUAGAUCAAGGAGUCUGCAAGGCAGGAUAUGCAGUAGUAACUCUGAAUGGUGGUACUGGACUGCACCCCUCUCUCCAGGCACAGGCACUCACCUAGCUGAACUAACAGCUCUCACAGGAGCGGUGGAAUUAAGGACGGGAAAGGUAACUAACAUUUGCACUGCCUUCAAGGAUGCUUUCUUAGUUCUCCAUGCUCAUGCUGCCAUUGGGAAGGAAAUGGCAUCCUUCAAAUCUGUGACUGAGAACCAUUUAGUUCCCUCAGAUAUUUGAGUCAGUAAGAUACAGGGAUUCGGGACCACUGGAUGAAUUGGGACUACAGCCUAAUUAACAAGGCAGAGGUCCAGAUCCGGAAUUCAUUGGUUCUUUGCACUCCUAAUAUUGGGGUAUUGUAGGGGUGUUACAGGGCUUGAGGGAGCCCUUCAUCUUUAGGUUAUUAAUAAUGGCUUCUAGCCCUUUAAGAGCCUCUGGCUUUAGGGAAUAUUGUCUCUGGUUAGGAAAAGACGUGGGAUCCUUAAGGUGGAUCUCAACUGGCCUAGCAGCUACAGCUCAACCUAUUCUUCCCUGAGUGGCCCACAAUUCUGGAUUAAUAUUGCUUCCACCAGGGGGAGACAAAGAGUUUGCCCCAGGGCUGUAAGGAUGCUGGUCUCUGCGAGCUAAAAUGUCUCUACUUAGUGGAACUUUCAGGCAUGAUUAAGAAGGCAUGCAUAGCCAGGCGCGGUGGCUCACGCCUGUAAUCCCAGCACUUUGGGAGGCCGAGGUGGGUGGAUCAUGAGGUCAAGAGAUCGAGACCAUCCUGGUCAACAUGGUGAAACCCCGUCUCUACUAAAAAUACAAAAAAUUAGCUGGGCAUGGUGGCGCGUGCCUGUAAUCCCAGCUACUCGGGAGGCUGAGGCAGGAGAAUUGCCUGAACCCAGGAGACAGAGGUUGCCGUGAGCCAAGAUUGUGCCAUUGCACCCCAGCCUGGGUAACAAGAGUGAAACUCUGUCUCAAAAAAAAAAAAAGAAGGCAUGCAUAAAUAAUAGGCCUCUCCAACUACAGCUAAGGGGUUGAGAAAAACAUCAGGUCAGAACCUUCCCUGAAACGUCCCUCACAGUUAUGCUAUGGGAAGAGGGAAAGCCUGGAUCAGAGAGGAGAAGAGAGAGGCUGGCUCCAGUGUCCAGAAGGAGGUUCACCUUCCUUCCUCCAAUUUCCAGAAUCACUCAGGGUUCCUGUGCUAUAAUGGCAGUUUGAGCCACUGGAUCUGGUGGUUUGAACUCCAAGACCCAUGGCAUGUGGGAACCCAUGGCAUGUGGGAACCGAUGGCAUGUGGGAUGAUCUAUGAGAUUGGUUCUGAACCCGGUGACCUCCAUCUUUGGGUGCAGUCCAUUCUCCAACGGUCUCCACCACAGGCUGGACAGGGUCAAGGUGGCUUUUUCUUGCCGCCUAAGAAUUAGUAAGGAGAUUUUAUGUCCGGAAGUUAACUAGAGCGUCACACACAGUGCCAUCUGUGAGCAGCUCUGUGUACACGAGAGCUUGCUACGUGAGAGGCAUAACCCAGCCCAGCUAAUGCAUCAGAAGAAGGUGAGUGUGACAUUCUUUCUUCCCUCAUGCUGACUUGGGGACAGCGAUUAUGGGGUGGGUGGUGCUGGCCUCUGGGCAGCAGCCGAGGAGGGUCAACCCUGAGAGCUUACUGGGUGCCUGUUCUAUGCUGCCUGGGUCAGAUGACUGCCUCUUUCGUCCUCAUGGUGGCUCCAUAGGGUGGGUGCUGUUCCCAAAGUACCCCCCUCGACAGGUCUGAUGUCUGGGGUCAGAGAGGUGGUAACUAGGUAACCCCAGGAAUCCAGAUGUGGCCCUGGGUUGUGCUCUCAGCCCUGCCCUGUGCCAUGCUGGUUAAGGCCUGAACCCUGUGGCCUCUCUGCCCUAGAUCCCCAAUGUGUCCAGAGUUCCAGAUCCCAAUGGGGCAGAGCCUGGCCCUGGCAGAGCUACUGGGAUGGAUCCACUAUGGGUGGGGUAGAGGGGAGGGUCCUCAGAAUACAUCUGUGCCCUAAGCCGGGCCCUGACUGUUGCUGUGGGACCCACUGGACACACACAGUUCCUUGUCUGGGAGUGGCAUGGGGAGCCUUUUGCCUGUGGGCAGUGUGGUAAAGGAAGGAGGCCUGGAGGGCUGCCUGGAUGGAGACUAUCUUCCCUCCUGUUCAAAGGGGUACCAGCACUUGGGUUCUCUCCAAGUAUUUCUUUCUCUGUCUGACUCCCUCGCCUCCCUUUUGCCCCGAGUGGUCCUAGAAGAAGUUGUUCAUCUGGGUGUUCUCCAAGGCCGAGGACCCAGAGUUCUCCUGAUUUUUCUCAGUGACCUGGGAAAAUGAAGCCCCCACACACACCCCAUAUGGAUAGCUCAGAAUUGUGAAGUUCACCACCCCUCCCCCAGAGUCAUGGUUUCCACAACACAGAGGCUGCGUUGGAGACAAGAGACCAUUUUCUUUCCCUAAACCAAACACCCUCCUGCUCAACUGGCAUUUUUCGCAAAGCGGUGUCACUGGUCAGACUGCAGGGCCAUGGUAGCCCAAGGAUGAGUGCAGUCGAAUGGAGAAGUCAGGAGAUAGCUUGUUCUCCAUAGGAAACAGGACAUCUUGGUGGCUUCUGAGCGAUCCCAGGAGGCUGAUCACACGGAGACCUCUGGUCCCCGACGCCAGUCUGCCUCCACAUCCCUGGAAUCAUAGGCCCCUCACCAUCAGUGGGUGGACAACUUUCAACCUGUCAGUGCAGAUAUGUUCCCAUUUCAUGGUAUUUGGGGACAAUGGGAUUCUCUGCCCAGGUUCCACUCUUCUCCAGUCCUUGGGAAGGAGCCCACCCCUGCUUCGGACUUGAGACUCCAGAGACCCGGGCAGGUGUGGGCCACUGGGUCUGGCCUAUUUUCACCUUGGGGCAGUAAUGGAAUGGGGGUCACAUGGCUGGCCAGCAUCUGGGAGCCCGGCAGGAGUGGUUCAAGUGUUCUCUGAAGCUCUCGGGUACAGUAUAAUGUUGGGACGAUUUUGUCUCACAAGAUGGACGUGGGAGAGAACACAGAUAUCCUGCUGGCAUAGGAGUGAGGCAAUGUCAUUAUCAAGUAUGAGCAGGUAUAGUGGGUCUGCUCCCUUGAGGGAGGCUUCUCCCAGUGUUCCCUGGUCAAAGGGUCCUGGGCUCCCUAGGAGCAUGGGGCAGGGAUGAGUUGCCAAUACCCCCAGACCCUUGCACCUUUUACCUUGACUCCUCACCCCAGCUCCUUCUGGGUUUCAGGAACAUGGAACUGGGCUGCCAGCAGACACAGGGCCUGAGCAUGUUCACAUCUGCAAGAUUGCUGAUUGCCUUGGGAUUCUGCAGUCCUGGCCCCUUCCUGGGAGUCAGCCCGAGAGGAAGGCCCUUGUCCCCCCUUCCCCGUGGCUUCUCCCAGGCUGAGACGUGGGGUGGAUGGGGACACAGCCAGUGGGCUCCCGGACCAGGAAGGCUCCAGGCCCUAUGCAGGUUGUCAGCUCUGCCUGGGGUGCCUUCCAGUGAGAUGGAGCUGCCCCCGUCAGUGCCCUGGGUGUGAAGUUUGCGGAAAUUUCAAGGUGAGAACCACAGUCAUGGCUUGGGAGUGGCUUCCCGCUUGUGCCAGGCCCCCACCCAGAGGCUGGGACCUGACCUAAGGCUGGUGUAUCUGUGGCCUGAGGUGGCACAUCCUUGGGUCACAGGGCCAGCCCACUGGUGCUCAUGUGCUCAGAGGAUCUCAGCCCCUAGGGUCUGUCCUCCCCUGGCUCCUUCUACCUGGGUCUCAGGAGAGCUCCAGAGCCCAGGACCCAGCAUCCACAGGCCACGGGCCACUCGGGGAAGCAUGGCAGCUCCACGAACUCCAACACUCCUCAUGUGAUGGCAAAUGUGGCAGGAGAGGAGGCACAUGGAGAAGCAGUUGAAGAUGCUGGGAGAGUGGCAGGAACCUAGGGAGAGCAGGAAGUCUUAGGAGGAGAGACCUUGUCCCAGCUUGACCUCACUUCUACCGAGGAAUCAUGGCACCCAGACCAGAGACUUCCGGAAUCCCUGGGCUCUGGUCCUUGCCGGGGUCAUCUUCCGGAAGGAAGGAAAAAGGAAGGUUUCCUUCUGCAGAAAGCAGUGGUGAGACUCCAGCUCACCACUGGCAUAAACCUCCAAGCAAGCGGGGGUGGUCUCAUGGGGUCAAACUGAGACAAAGGAGUCAGGGCCCCAACAACUAAUGUCACCUGGGCCUGACCACCACAUCUCAUAACAAGAACGUCGGUGGAUCUUAUUCCUGGACACUUAGUCCUGGACAUCUGGCCAAUGAAGGCCAGAUGGCAGCAUCUCCCCAUGCUGACACCCAGGAGCUUGGCGGUGUCACAUGCAGGUCAGUGCCUUCAGGAGACCUUUUGGACAAGUUGAUGAAGUUCUUGAGGGACAUGGCCUUUGUCAGGAAAUGAAUUUGCAUUCUGAGGAAGCCUCUUUUUCAGAGGAAGCCUCCCCAGGCCACCUCUGCCCUCUCCGAUGACAUGUGUUCUCCCAUGUGACCUCAGUCCUCCAGGUGAUGUCCUUCCAUGGUGACUCUGGCUCUUGCAGGAGGUGAGCUACUGCAGGGACCAGAGCCACAUUGCCACCUCAUUCCUCCUUUAUCUCCCUGAGGAGCACGCAUUCUGGGCACUGGUUCAGCUGUUGGCCGGUGAGAGGCACUCCCUGCAGGGUAGGUGGACAGCUGCCCCCCCAGGCCUCAUGCAGCCAGACCCAGAGACAGCCACCCUGGCUAGAUGAUCUCGACUUCCAGCAGAGGCACCUUCCUUGUGUUGCCGGCUUGUUGGGAGCCUUUAGGACGUCUCUGCUGAGGGUCCCACAGGAGCCUGGGGCUAAACGGGGACCCCCCCCAGACCCCAAGUCAGAUGCCUUUCAUCCCCAUCAACAGAGGGCAUCUCAUCCUCCCUCUGUGUCUUGGAGCCACGCCCUCCAGCUCUGAUUCUGUGCAGCUGACUCUUCCCUCCCUGAGAGUCCUCCUGUCCUCCAGCUGGCCAGGCUCCAGCUGCUCUUGGUGACCACGGGUGGGUCCAUGAAGGCCAGAUGGCAGCAUCUCCCCAUGCCGUACUUCCAGGAGACAGCCAUGAAGCCCAGCACCCACCUUGUUCUUUCCACUCUCUUUUAUGGCUUCAAAGUCAGGCUCGCCCUCCCAGCACCCUGGCCCAGGAGGCCUCUAGGAGCACCUCCAGCCAGAUUCCAGGGGACGUUCCCACCCCUCCUCUCCAGGGCCAAGGCCACAUGGUGGGGUCACCAGAUGGGAGGGUGAGAGACCUUGGGGUUCCACUGCACAGAGACAAUGUGGAUGUGGACAUUUGGCUCUGAGGGCACACAGCACUGCUUCUGACCAGGACAACCCAUUCAUAGCUAGGGACUCGAAGCACUGCACUCCCACCUCAGGGCCUUAGCUCUGCCACCUCUACUUGGAAUAUUCUCAGUUCCCUCCAGGCUUCUGGAAGCAUCUGGGCCAGAACUCACGGCUGGAUACACACCCGUGGCCCCACAAACCCAAACAAGCUUCUCAUCCUCAUUUUACUUUUUGUUAAACUUAGAAACUUUAUUAAGAUAUGACUUACAUCCCUGGUAAGUGCCACAGCUUGAAAGACAGUCACAGAUGGAACAUACCAGCCCUUACAGAUCAGAAAGCCAGCCAUGCCCAGCCCCUCCCAGCGCCCCUAGCCCCACAACCAGUGCUCUGACUUCUGAUGACACAGUUAGCCUGACUUUUGUACU